rnacentral:rRNA from 1 species
GAUGAACGCUGGCGGCGUGCUUAACACAUGCAAGUCGAACGAUGAAGCCCAGCUUGCUGGGUGGAUUAGUGGCGAACGGGUGAGUAACACGUGAGUAACCUGCCCUUAACUCUGGGAUAAGCCUGGGAAACUGGGUCUAAUACCGGAUAGGAGCGUCCACCGCAUGGUGGGUGUUGGAAAGAUUUAUCGGUUUUGGAUGGACUCGCGGCCUAUCAGCUUGUUGGUGAGGUAAUGGCUCACCAAGGCGACGACGGGUAGCCGGCCUGAGAGGGUGACCGGCCACACUGGGACUGAGACAGGGCGCAGACUCCUACGGGAGGCAGCAGUGGGGAAUAUUGCACAAUGGGCGCAAGCCUGAUGCAGCGACGCCGCGUGAGGGAUGACGGCCUUCGGGUUGUAAACCUCUUUCAGUAGGGAAGAAGCGAAAGUGACGGUACCUGCAGAAGAAGCACCGGCUAACUACGUG